CGGGCCCGCACAAGCAGCGGAGCGUGUGGUUUAAUUCGAUGUUACACGAAGAACCUUACCAGGGUUUGACAUGCAAGUGGUAGGAAGCCGAAAGGUGACCGACCCUUCGGGGAGCUUGCACAGGUGCUGCAUGGCUGUCGUCAGCUCGUGUCGUGAGAUGUUCGGUUAAGUCCGCUAACGAGCGCAACCCUCGCUGUGUGUUAUAUGUGUCACACGGGACUGCCGGUCUUAAGCCGGAGGAAGGUGGGGAUGAUGUCAAGUCAGCAUGGCCUUUAUAUCCUGGGCUACACACACGCUACAAUGGCCAACACAAUAGGUUGCUAAGCCGCGAGGUGGCGCCAAUCCAUAAAGUUGGUCUCAGUUCAGAUUGUAGGCUGCAACCCGCCUGCAUGAAGAUGGAGUUGCUAGUAACCGCAGGCCAGCUAUACUGCGGUGAAUACGUUCCCGGGCCUU
rnacentral:rRNA from 1 species